rnacentral:rRNA from 1 species
AUUGAACGCUGGCGGCAGGCCUAACCCAUGCAAGUCGAGCGAGCGGAGGACGGGUGAGUAAUGUCUGGGAAACUGCCUGAUGGAGGGGGAUAACUACUGGAAACGGUAGCUAAUACCGCAUACCAUCAGAUGUGCCCAGAUGGGAUUAGCUAGUAGGUGGGGUAACGGCUCACCUAGGCGACGAUCCCUAGCUGGUCUGAGAGGAUGACCAGCCACACGGGAACUGAGACACUGUCCAGACUCCUACGGGAGGAAUCAGUGGGGAAUAUUGCACAAUGGGCGCAAGCCUGAUACAGCCAUGCCGCGUGUGUGAAGAAGGCCUUCGGGUUGUAAAGCACUUUCAGCGGGGAGGCGUUACCCGCAGAAGAAGCACCGGCUAACUCCGUGCCAGCAGCCGCGGUAAUUC